GGUUAAGCGACUAAGCGUACACGGUGGAUGCCCUGGCAGUCAGAGGCGAUGAAGGACGUGCUAAUCUGCGAAAAGCGUCGGUAAGGUGAUAUGAACCGUUAUAACCGGCGAUGUCCGAAUGGGGAAACCCAGUGCAAUUCGUUGCACUAUCGUUAACUGAAUACAUAGGUUAACGAGGCGAACCGGGGGAACUGAAACAUCUAAGUACCCCGAGGAAAAGAAAUCAACCGAGAUUCCCCCAGUAGCGGCGAGCGAACGGGGAGCAGCCCAGAGUCUGAAUCAGCUUGUGUGUUAGUGGAACGGUCUGGAAAGUCCGACGGUACAGGGUGAUAGUCCCGUACACCAAAAUGCACAGGCUGUGAACUCGAAGAGUAGGGCGGGACACGUGGUAUCCUGUCUGAAUAUGGGGGGACCAUCCUCCAAGGCUAAAUACUCCUGACUGACCGAUAGUGAACCAGUACCGUGAGGGAAAGGCGAAAAGAACCCCGGCGAGGGGAGUGAAAAAGAACCUGAAACCGUGUACGUACAAGCAGUGGGAGCACCUUCGGGUGUGACUGCGUACCUUUUGUAUAAUGGGUCAGCGACUUAUAUUCUGUAGCAAGGUUAACCGUAUAGGGGAGCCGCAGGGAAACCGAGUCUUAACUGGGCGUUAAGUUGCAGGGUAUAGACCCGAAACCCGGUGAUCUAGCCAUGGGCAGGUUGAAGGUUGGGUAACACUAACUGGAGGACCGAACCGACUAAUGUUGAAAAAUUAGCGGAUGACUUGUGGCUGGGGGUGAAAGGCCAAUCAAACCGGGAGAUAGCUGGUUCUCCCCGAAAGCUAUUUAGGUAGCGCCUCGUGAACUCAUCUUCGGGGGUAGAGCACUGUUUCGGCUAGGGGGUCAUCCCGACUUACCAACCCGAUGCAAACUACGAAUACCGAAGAAUGUUAUCACGGGAGACACACGGCGGGUGCUAACGUCCGUCGUGAAGAGGGAAACAACCCAGACCGCCAGCUAAGGUCCCAAAGUCAUGGUUAAGUGGGAAACGAUGUGGGAAGGCACAGACAGCCAGGAUGUUGGCUUAGAAGCAGCCAUCAUUUAAAGAAAGCGUAAUAGCUCACUGGUCGAGUCGGCCUGCGCGGAAGAUGUAACGGGGCUAAACCAUGCACCGAAGCUGCGGCAGCGACACUAUGUGUUGUUGGGUAGGGGAGCGUUCUGUAAGCCUGCGAAGGUGACCUGUGAGGGUUGCUGGAGGUAUCAGAAGUGCGAAUGCUGACAUAAGUAACGAUAAAGCGGGUGAAAAGCCCGCUCGCCGGAAGACCAAGGGUUCCUGUCCAACGUUAAUCGGGGCAGGGUGAGUCGACCCCUAAGGCGAGGCCGAAAGGCGUAGUCGAUGGGAAACAGGUUAAUAUUCCUGUACUUGGUGUUACUGCGAAGGGGGGACGGAGAAGGCUAUGUUAGCCGGGCGAC
rnacentral:rRNA from 1 species